rnacentral:tRNA from 1 species
GGUUCUGUGCUGUAAAGGUUAUCACUCAGGACUCUGAAUCUUGCAAUCUGAGUUCAAAUCUCGGUAGGACCU